UCAAAGCUAUAUAUAUAAGUAUAAAUCUUUUAAGCCUUA
rnacentral:tRNA from 1 species